rnacentral:rRNA from 1 species
UACGUAGGUGGCAAGCGUUGUCCGGAAUUAUUGGGCGUAAAGCGCGCGCAGGCGGUCUUUUAAGUCUGAUGUGAAAGCCCACGGCUCAACCGUGGAGGGUCAUUGGAAACUGGGAGACUUGAGUGCAGAAGAGAAGAGUGGAAUUCCACGUGUAGCGGUGAAAUGCGUAGAGAUGUGGAGGAACACCAGUGGCGGAAGGC